rnacentral:lncRNA from 1 species
AGUGAGUUGUUGGUAGGAGAAAUGUUACUUCUUUGCCAGGGCACACUGCUGUCUCCUGUUCAGUUUGCUGUCUGCCAUGUAGCCCUAGGACCUUGUCAGCAGUGCUGCUGUCCAGCCAGUCCCAAGCCUGUGUCAGUAAAGGGCUUCUCCCUUCCCGGUUCACAGCAUGGAAGAUGCUCCAUGAGGGUGAAGCAAGGAUGGAAGAAGUUAGUGUUAUCCAGCAUUCCUGCUGAGUAUAUAACUUACUGCCACUUCUGAUCUUUGAAGAGAGAUUUAUCGCUUCCUGUGGCAAUACUGAAUUCUCAAAAGUUUCACUAGUACA